rnacentral:rRNA from 1 species
AACGCUGAAGGAGGAGCUUGCUUCUCUGGAUGAGUUGCGAACGGGUGAGUAACGCGUAGGUAACCUGCCUGGUAGCGGGGGAUAACUAUUGGAAACGAUAGCUAAUACCGCAUAAGAGUAGAUGUUGCAUGACAUUUGCUUAAAAGGUGCAAUUGCAUCACUACCAGAUGGACCUGCGUUGUAUUAGCUAGUUGGUGAGGUAACGGCUCACCAAGGCGACGAUACAUAGCCGACCUGAGAGGGUGAUCGGCCACACUGGGACUGAGACACGGCCCAGACUCCUACGGGAGGCAGCAGUAGGGAAUCUUCGGCAAUGGACGGAAGUCUGACCGAGCAACGCCGCGUGAGUGAAGAAGGUUUUCGGAUCGUAAAGCUCUGUUGUAAGAGAAGAACGAGUGUGAGAGUGGAAAGUUCACGCUGUGACGGUAUCUUACCAGAAAGGGACGGCUAACUACGUGCCAGCAGCCGCGGUAAUACGUAGGUCCCGAGCGUUGUCCGGAUUUAUUGGGCGUAAAGCGAGCGCAGGCGGUUAGAUAAGUCUGAAGUUAAAGGCUGUGGCUUAACCAUAGUACGCUUUGGAAACUGUUUAACUUGAGUGCAAGAGGGGAGAGUGGAAUUCCAUGUGUAGCGGUGAAAUGCGUAGAUAUAUGGAGGAACACCGGUGGCGAAAGCGGCU